GCCUGGCCGACUUGAUGGUCAGCUGGCCGCAGUGCAGACCCAGGUUCGAGGAGGCUGUGCUACUGUCGCAGACGGUGAUCCGCACAGUAGCCACGCUUCGGAUGCCCGACCAGAGCGGCCCGAUCGCCACCUUCGUCAGCCAGAUGGAGCACGUUCAGCUGUUGUUCAAGGAGCUCUUCUCCAGCACGCAGACCUGUCAUCAGGUCUUGUGACGCGCUUUACGAGGUCAUGGCCGAUCCAGCGGUGCACACCAGCCCGGCACUGAGCGUGGUGCUGCAGGCUGUGCCGCUGAAGCUGAUCGGACCGGCCUGCUCCCAGCUGGUCAGCCUGCGCUCGGGCGACGGCGAGGCGACGGCUCGCGGGAUGGGCCUGCUCUGUGACUGGCUGCUGCUGUGGCCGCGGGCCGACCGGCUGGCUGUCU